ACUUAAUAUCUUAAAUUAUGAGGAAUUCACUGCGGAUGAAGUUCAGCUAAUUCAAUAUCAUUUUAUUACCAUGGUGAGAAGAAGCAGGAUCAAAAAUAGAAUUGCCAUAGUCACUCUAAUUUUGGGACUGGCUGUAGUUUAUAACGAAUUAAUUGCUUAUGAAGUUGAAAGUUUGCACUGGGCUUUUUACAAAUGUGUAGACUGCACCAGAGUAUUAUUUGUAGCAGACCCACAGAUUUUAGGGGUACAGAAUGAAAAAUAUUUUGGUGCAUCCUUGGCUAUAUGGGAUAGCGACAGUUACUUGAAAAAAACAUUUUCAAGAGCUCUCAAGCAUUCCAGGCCACAUGUAAUAGUCUUUCUUGGGGAUUUGAUGGACGAAGGUCAUAUUGCGCCCACCGAAGAUUUCGAGUUGUAUAAACAGAGAUUUGAUGACAUAUUUCAAACACCGGACCAUGUGAUGAAAAUUUAUAUACCCGGAGACAAUGAUAUUGGUGGUGAAGAAGACAUGGUAUCGUCCCAUAUUAAUGAGAGGUUUGAAUUCACCUAUAGUCAGCCUGAUACCUUGACUUACAAGAGUUCAAAUUUUUUCAAGGUGAACAGACUGACCCAUUUGAUUCCUCAAGCACCAAAUGAUGCAUUUCUGAAUGAUUAUACUGAAAGGAAUACUACCAAUAUUGUUCUAAGCCACAUGCCGCUCUUGUUUUCGCCAGGCAGUUUUGUCCAAAAUGUGGUUAAGAAAUUAUCACCGCAGCUGAUUUUUACUGCCCAUGAUCAUAAAGCGAUGCAUACGAGCUUGGAUACAGCUACCGACCAACUAAGUGAUAUCCGAAUUCUACCACCACAUGAAAAUCGGUUGUAUCAAUUACGGCUGGAUGUGGGGACUAUUCAUGAAAUUCAAAUACCAACAUGUUCAUAUCGGAUGGGAACACCUUAUGUUGGUUAUGGAUUGGUUUAUGUUGAUACACAAGAUAAAACUGUGGAAUUCACAGUACUGUGGCAGCCAAAUCGUUUUGUGCAACUACGGAUUUACGCUGUAGUCGGUUUAAUUUUAUUUUUAUUUCUACUUUGCUUCUCUUCUGGUUGCGCCUGUCGAGUUACAUCUGCUCAGAUAGCAUACACGAGAAUGCCCAAUAUCUGAAUAGCGUAUUGAAACAAACAGUGAAUCUCUUGAUUAAAUUGACGGUAAACAUUGCUUGUUAUAUGCCUAUAUGUAUGGGAAAAAGUGAGAAUUUAUACCACUAGCUACAUUGGACUCCGCUAUAAGAAGUGCACUGUUUUCCCUAUACUUCUGUAUAAAACGAUCCAAUUUACCUGGUGAUAAAUUAUCCCUACUUUCUCCUAUUACUGUUAUUCCGUUAUUGGAAAGAAUAAUUUUUUGUAUACAUUCUUGUAGAACGCAAACUCACUUUUAAUACUGAAAUGUUAUUGUCGACAGGUCACUUAGAUAGGUACAAACGAUUGCUUACAAUUAAUGCGAUGUGCACAGGGUUACUUUACAAUCGUGACGUCGAAGCGAGAUUUCUAUAGAUUGUAGUAUGUAAUUAUAAAACUAAGGCUUCCAAAGCUGAGGAGGUUAAGGUUUUUAAUUGAAACAUUUGAAAACUGCGUAUGAAUCAAAUGAUCUUUCAAUAUAUUAUUCAAAUAUUGUGUCAGUUGUCAGUCUUUACAACAGAUCGUAAAUUUUCCGUUCAAUCGGCGUCGGUUCCUAUGGACUGACGACGUGUAAAUUGGUGUACAUCUCAUGAUCUUCAUACCAGCACACUGAAAACGCCUUCACCCUCGACAUCCUAAAUUUGAUAGUGCCUUCAGAUGAUCUGUGGUACGGAUCGAGAACUGAUGAUAUGAUUUUGCAAUCGCUUCAAGAUGGAAGGGAUUUACGCGUGCAAACUGCUGUUAUUAAGCCCAUUGGAGGGCAUGUGACACUUGGUAAUUCCUCUUUACUCUAGAAGUGGGUAAUAAGUUUAACUGUAAGCAAAAUAUUAAGGUGCAAUAAUUAUUUCAUGAGAAUUUCAUCCCUAACUCGAAUUCUGAAUCAGAAUAUGCUCUUGUAAUUUGAAAUUAAUUUUAUAGACAGAAAAUUGUCAAUACGAAAAUAAUUUAUAUGUGAUUUCUCAGCAAGAGAAUAAUAAUCGUAGUUUUUUUAUAACUUGCGAAGUUACAACCACUUGAAUUAAUGUCGAAAAUUAAAUCCUACCCAUUUGACUCGUUCUG
rnacentral:misc_RNA from 1 species